AAAUUAUUUACCUUUUGUUUUUGGAUUUUUCUUAUUGAUCAAUGAACUUUAAAUCAUUCUUACUGCAAAUUAAAUAGUAUUUUCAUGAUUUAUAGGACAUUACAAUUGUUUUUUCAUAUUCAGCCAAUUAGAACUUCUUUUAACUGGGAUUGCCUCCUUCCUAGAUUUUUCACGUUCAUGCUAAUUGUGUUGUGCGUUUAGAAGGUUGGAUAUCUUCAAGUUUUCUGUUACUUUUAGUCUGCUUAGGUCAUUUAAAGAAUGACCA
rnacentral:misc_RNA from 1 species